GGUCCUUCGAGAUAGAGAUACCGUCAAGUUAAGCUGGAACCAUAACUGAAUAGAGACUCUUCUUCAACAUGUCAGGCAUCCUUAUAUGAAAGAGACACUGACACACGUGGAGGGAGGUACCACAUGAGGACUGAGGGAAUCAACACCUUCUGGCUUCUUUGAGCACCAGGAAUAGCAUAUGCUGCACAGACAUACAUACAGGUUCUCCACUGAGGCCCAGUGGUCUUUACAUGCAACAUCUGUAUCUCUGUCUACACUCCACUAUACCUCCAGGAUGUCCUCCUUCGCCUGAGAAGAGCCCUGUCCUACAAGCAUGCUAAGCACCAGGCCGGUUGCUCUUACCUGCCUCCCUCAGAUGAGCCGACUCCCAGGUAGUGUGCACAGAAUCACAUGAAGAAGAG
rnacentral:lncRNA from 1 species